rnacentral:lncRNA from 1 species
UCCUCAACAACGCCUUGUCCGAUCUUCUAGUGGACUUGUGUUGAGAAGGGUUCAGCUUCACAAAGACCAGAUCACCUGGUUGGAACACAACGUCGCGCCGAUGCUUGUCUGCCCAUUUCUUCAUCUUCAGAGUUGCCUUCUCCAAUUGAGGCCGAGCCAGCUCAUUAGUCACCUGCCACUCCUUGGUCGUCUUGUACGCAGCAGGGCUACUCCCC